GAUGAACGCUGGCGGCGUGCCUAAUACUUGCAAGUCGAGCGAACAGAUGAGGAGCUUGCUCCUCUGACGUUAGCGGCGGACGGGUGAGUAACACGUGGAUAACCUACCUAUAAGACUGGGAUAACUUCGGGAAACCGGAGCUAAUACCGGAUAAUAUAUUGAACCGCAUGGUUCAAUAGUGAAAGACGGUUUUGCUGUCACUUAUAGAUGGAUCCGCGCCGCAUUAGCUAGUUGGUAAGGUAACGGCUUACCAAGGCAACGAUGCGUAGCCGACCUGAGAGGGUGAUCGGCCACACUGGAACUGGGACACGGUCCAGACUCCUACGGGAGGCAGCAGUAGGGAAUCUUCCGCAAUGGGCGAAAGCCUGACGGAGCAACGCCGCGUGAGUGAUGAAGGUCUUCGGAUCGUAAAACUCUGUUAUUAGGGAAGAACAAAUGUGUAAGUAUCUAUGCACGUCUUGACGGUACCUAAUCAGAAAGCCACGGCGAACUACGU
rnacentral:rRNA from 1 species